CCGUGUACAACUUCCUUCAUAUCUCACAAAGUAAUUAUUAAAAUACUAUGAAACUUUGAUCUAAAGCUUUUUAACCCAAUUACACACACUUGUAGAAAUUUUGAGCCAAAAAUUCAUCCAGAAACUCAAGAUAUGGCUUCACCCAUAACUAGCAACAAAUUGAUAUACUUACUGCCUUCAAAUUACAAGUGUUGUCUUCAAU
rnacentral:lncRNA from 1 species